rnacentral:tRNA from 1 species
GGGGAUGUGGCUCCAUGGUAUAGUGCUUGCCUGGCAUGCAUGAGGAUCAGGGUUCAAUCCUCAGCAGCACCA